rnacentral:rRNA from 1 species
AGUGAACGCUGGCGGUAGGCCUAACACAUGCAAGUCGAACGGCAGCACAGUAAGAGCUUGCUCUUACGGGUGGCGAGUGGCGGACGGGUGAGGAAUACAUCGGAAUCUACUUUUUCGUGGGGGAUAACGUAGGGAAACUUACGCUAAUACCGCAUACGACCUACGGGUGAAAGCAGGGGAUCUUCGGACCUUGCGCGAUUGAAUGAGCCGAUGUCGGAUUAGCUAGUUGGCGGGGUAAAGGCCCACCAAGGCGACGAUCCGUAGCUGGUCUGAGAGGAUGACCAGCCAAACUGGAACUGAGACACGGUCCAGACUCCUACGGGAGGCAGCAGUGGGGAAUAUUGGACAAUGGGCGCAAGCCUGAUCCAGCCAUACCGCGUGGGUGAAGAAGGCCUUCGGGUUGUAAAGCCCUUUUGUUGGGAAAGAAAAGCAGCAGGUUAAUACCCCGCUGUUCUGACGGUACCCAAAGAAUAAGCACCGGCUAACUUCGUG